GAACGCUGGCGGCGUGCCUAAUACAUGCAAGUCGAACGCUUUUUCUUUCACCGGAGCUUGCUCCACCGAAAGAAAAAGAGUGGCGAACGGGUGAGUAACACGUGGGUAACCUGCCCAUCAGAAGGGGAUAACACUUGGAAACAGGUGCUAAUACCGUAUAACACUAUUUUCCGCAUGGAAGAAAGUUGAAAGGCGCUUUUGCGUCACUGAUGGAUGGACCCGCGGUGCAUUAGCUAGUUGGUGAGGUAACGGCUCACCAAGGCAACGAUGCAUAGCCGACCUGAGAGGGUGAUCGGCCACACUGGGACUGAGACACGGCCCAGACUCCUACGGGAGGCAGCAGUAGGGAAUCUUCGGCAAUGGACGAAAGUCUGACCGAGCAACGCCGCGUGAGUGAAGAAGGUUUUCGGAUCGUAAAACUCUGUUGUUAGAGAAGAACAAGGAUGAGAGUAAAAUGUUCAUCCCUUGACGGUAUCUAACCAGAAAGCCACGGCUAACUACGUGCCAGCAGCCGCGGUAAUACGUAGGUGGCAAGCGUUGUCCGGAUUUAUUGGGCGUAAAGCGAGCGCAGGCGGUUUCUUAAGUCUGAUGUGAAAGCCCCCGGCUCAACCGGGGAGGGUCAUUGGAAACUGGGAGACUUGAGUGCAGAAGAGGAGAGUGGAAUUCCAUGUGUAGCGGUGAAAUGCGUAGAUAUAUGGAGGAACACCAGUGGCGAAGGCGGCUCUCUGGUCUGUAACUGACGCUGAGGCUCGAAAGCGUGGGGAGCGAACAGGAUUAGAUACCCUGGUAGUCCACGCCGUAAACGAUGAGUGCUAAGUGUUGGAGGGUUUCCGCCCUUCAGUGCUGCAGCAAACGCAUUAAGCACUCCGCCUGGGGAGUACGACCGCAAGGUUGAAAC
rnacentral:rRNA from 1 species